rnacentral:rRNA from 1 species
UACGUAGGGGGCAAGCGUUAAUCGGAAUUACUGGGCGUAAAGCGUGCGCAGGCGGUUCUAUAAGACAGAUGUGAAAUCCCCGGGCUCAACCUGGGAACUGCAUUUGUGACUGUAGAGCUGGAGUACGGCAGAGGGGGAUGGAAUUCCGCGUGUAGCAGUGAAAUGCGUAGAUAUCAGGAGGAAUACCGAUGGCGAAGGCAGGUCUCUGGGCUGACACUGACGCUCAUGCACGAAAGCGUGGGGAGCAAACAGG